UCUUUUUAUUGUGUGCCAGCAGCCGCGGUAAAACGUAGGUCACAAGCGUUGUCCGGAAUUACUGGGUGUAAAGGGAGCGCAGGCGGGAAGACAAGUUGGAAGUGAAAUCUAUGGGCUCAACCCAUAAACUGCUUUCAAAACUGUUUUUCUUGAGUAGUGCAGAGGUAGGCGGAAUUCCCGGUGUAGCGGUGGAAUGCGUAGAUAUCGGGAGGAACACCAGUGGCGAAGGCGGCCUACUGGGCACCAACUGACGCUGAGGCUCGAAAGUGUGGGUAGCAAACAGG
rnacentral:rRNA from 1 species